GUAUUUUGAAUUAAGUAAUUCGUAAUAUUUUUCAGACAAAGAGUUAAAGAGUUGGUUGAUGUUUGGUCGUUCCCAUAGAAGAGAACGACUGACAUUGCACACAAGGUGGAUAUGGAUUUAAAAAGUGCCAUAAAACACUUAUUAUGAAUGAUCCUUCCGCAGGUUCACCUACGGAAA
rnacentral:misc_RNA from 1 species